AAUACGGAUAGAAGGUAAAGG
rnacentral:snRNA from 1 species